GCACGGCUGGCAGCUGCCGGGGUCACCUGCGGCGCGGCCGGGCGACGGCGACAAAAGGAGGAAACAAGUCCCCCGCCCUAGCAGCCGGCCAGCGGGCAAAAUGGAGGUGAUGAUUCCUGCCCCGAAGAUUCUUGUGAGGCCUUGAGAUAAAUCACCCCAGCAUGGGGAUAGCUUUCAAUUAGGAAACUGAGGCUGGACAGAGGUACCGCUGGGAUUCAACUGUUGCUGGAUCGGACUCCAUAAGUUCCUUCCUCAGUCCCGGAGGGAGGCCUGACCACCUACUGCGGACAGGACUGGUGACCUGGCCCGCCUCUCAGGCCAGACUCUCCUCGCUGCAGGGAGGCCCCGGGCGCGGCGGGGCAGAGGAGCAGGAAGAACGGUCUGGGCGCACACGCCGAGGCCAAGGGCGGGCCCCCGCGCCCAGGAGGAGCCCAUUUCCCUCCCUCCCUCCCCUGGGACCCCGGCGCUGGGGGAGGGGAGCGGCCGCAGCCCUCCCCAUCCGCCCCGGCCGCCAGGUGCCCAGAAACGCGGCCUCCCCCUCCCGCCCCCGCGCCUGUUCCCGGCGCAGCCCGCGGCUCGGCGGUCACGUCUCCCCAUCCGGCUCCAAAGUACGAGUCAGCGGCGGCCGGGCCAGCCCCGCGGAAGGGCGGCGCCGGGGAGGGGAGGUGGCCCGAGGGGCCGGGCCGCGCGCUCCGCCCCCUCCUCCCUCCGCGCGGCGCGGGUAGGUCUGCGAGGGGCUGGGCCCCCCCGCCGCGCCCGGGUCGGCCCUGGCCCACGGGGCGCGGCGCGGGCGAGGCCGCAGCGUCGGGGCCACCGCCCCUGCCGGCGCUCCGCGGGCGCGGGGCGGGCCGAGGGGAGGCUGGCUGGGGAAGCCGCGAGGCCGCGCCUCCCGAGAGGCGCGCGGGCCGGUGUUGCUGGGGAGAAAAGCGCCGCCGCGGCCCCGCCUGGAGGCCCUCUGCUCCAGGGCGCAGCGCACUCUGCUGGGGCGACCUCGGAACUGCAGGGAGACCCCACCCGCACCUACAGCGACGACCCGACGCCCCGACGCCCCGACGCCCCGACGCCGGAGGCCGAGAGCUCGACGCCGGAGGCCGAGAGCUCGGGUCUGGGCCGUAGAAAUUCCUGGUUAAUUAAAGAUCAUUAUUCCCCCCUUUGUUUUAAUUAAUUCAAAAAUGAGUCCUGAGCAUAGCAGGGAAAUUUGGGAAUGUGGAGAACCAAAAAAAAAAACCACUCAUAAUGCCUGUAUCCAGAAAGCAACGCUUAGAAUUUUAGUGCCUGCCCUUUCAGCGCUUCGUAUCUGCAAAUCUAUCUGUGUAUGCAUUCUUUGUAGAAUAAAAAAUACGAUAGUGUCGGCCCUG
rnacentral:lncRNA from 1 species